GGCCACACAGGAUAAUCGAUUAUCCCAUACGGUCUGCUUAAGACAACCGCACGGGAUAAUUCGAUUAUCCCGUGCGGCC
rnacentral:pre_miRNA from 11 species